rnacentral:lncRNA from 1 species
GAGGAUAAAGACGUGAGCUGAUCCGGGCGUUGGGAAGAGGCUGAGCUGGGAGUUGAUCGCACGGAAGGAGUUGACGACUUGCUUCAAUGCAGAGGAGACGUGGAUGCUUGAAUCAAAGGAAGAUGAAGUCUAUCCGGACGCUGGGAAGCUUGAAUUUGGCUCUAUCUUGGGAGGAUAAGCUCGGGAAGGAACGGGAAGAGGGCGCGGAGAAACAGGGAAUUCGGAUGGCAGCUGGGAUGCCGAGAUUUACUGGGAGAUGAGCUUGGACGCGUUGGAUCAUCGCGGAUGGCGAGCAUGGGACGCUGGGAG